UGCUGUGAUGUCUCCCAACUUGCCUUUAUCCUGCAAGCAAACAUGCAACCCAGCUUCUAGAAAUGAAAUGUCAUGAGCACUGAGACACAUUAGCUACCACAAGAUCUGGUGUCUAUGCCUUGAUGGCAGACCAGAUGGAAGGAAGAAGACCUUCCUUCUUGAUUCCAAGGAAACAAGCUCAUGAAGACCGUUCAGAUCUGGCAGUAGAAGUGGUACUGCCAUUCUGGGGUUCAGUCAUCCACAUGAGCCUCUGGAGACACAAGAGGAGUAGCACAUCUGGCUAGAUUGUACCACUUGACGUUUCCCUGGAAGCAUGGGGAAGAGACUUCCAGUUCUUCUUGCUGUCUUCUUGCUGAGCUGUCUCAUCUUGUGAGAGCUUAAUCUGUGACCAGUGUGCGACCUACCGCAGAAUGGGAGACCAGUAAACCUCCGCAACAAAACAGAGUGCUGGGAAGAUUCAGACCCAUUUCUGUGAAAGUCAGUGUCAAAACCUCUGUUCAUCAAUGGCCCACCCAGCAAAAGAUGCUGGCUCAUCAGUUGUGUGUACACACUUUCAUCACGUAACCAGCUAGAACUGUAUAAACAAGAGAGCUGAUUGCAAGGGAUGAGUAAAUACCAUCUGCAAAUUCUUAAUCCAUUUGUUACUUAAUUGCUAAAUAAAAUCAGGAGUGGUUAA